AUGGCUGCAGAUGAGGACGGCCAUGCCAGCCGCAGGCACCUAGAAGAGGACUUCAGUCUGACCUGGACCUAUUCUACAGCCUCUGUCCAGAAGCCCUUCGUCUUCCCCUUGUCGAACUGCUGCAACAACACUGCUCUCAAGACACUGGGAUGCCUGGUCACAGGCUACUUCCCAGAGCCAGUGACCAUAACCUGGAACACAAACUCCUCAAACACGAGCACCUGGAAAUUCCCCUCCAUCACUUCCAGCUCUGGUGUCUCUUUCACCGCCAGUCAAGUGGCCAUCCAGGGCAAGUUGGCAGGACAACGCUUCACCUGCCAGGUGAAGCAUGAUCCAUCUGCAAGCCACCAGAACAGGACUGUCAAAGCUUGCAUCUCUUCCAACUUCACCCAGCCCACCGUGAAGCUCUUCCAUUCCUCCUGUGACCCCAGUGGGUCUCAUACCACCAUCCAGCUCUACUGCCUCAUUUCUAACUACACCCCAGGUGACUUCAAGGUCACCUGGCUAAAGAACAGCCAGGAAAUCACCAACAGGCAGUCAUCCAUCGCCCCAUCCAAGCAAGAAGGCAAGCUGGCCUCCACCUAUGCUGAGCUCAACAUCACCCAGGAAGAAUGGGUGUCUGAGAGCACCUUCACCUGCAAGGUCACCUAUGAAGACUCCAUUAUUGAGGCCCAUGCCCAGAAGUGCACAGAAUAUGAACCACGAGGCGUGAGUGCCUACCUGAUUCCACCCAGCCCCCUCGACCUGUACUUCCACAAAGCGCCCAAGCUCACCUGUCUGGUGGUGGAUCUGGAAAAUGAUAAAGUCACCGUGACCUGGUCCCGGUUGAGCAAGAGGCCUGUGCAGGAGAGCUCCCAGAAGGUUAAUAGGUACUACAAUGCCACAACCAGCAUCACCUCCACCCUGCCCCUGGUAACCCAGGACUGGAUUGAAGGCGAGACCUACCUGUGCACAGUGAACUACUCCUUCCUGCCCAAGCCCAUUGUGCGCUCCAUCACCAAGACCCAGGGAAAGCGGGAGAUUCCUGAGAUCUACAUGUUCCCACCACCGGAGGAGAAGGGGAACCAGAACAAGCUCACCCUCACCUGCCUGAUCCAGAACUUCUUCCCCAAGGACAUCUCGGUGCAGUGGCUACGUAACAAGGUGCUGAUCCCAAGCAACGAGCACAGUACUACAGUGCCCCUGAACACCAGUGGCUCCAGAACCACCUUCUUCAUCUUCAGCCGCCUGGAGGUCACCCGGGCAGACUGGAUGCAGAACAACAAAUUCACCUGCCGCGUGGUCCAUGAGGCACUGCCUGAACCUAGGACCAUUGAGAAAACAGUGUCCAAGAACCCGGAGCUGGACCUCCAGGACCUGUGCACAGAGGAGGCCGAGAGUGAGGAGCUGGACGGGCUGUGGACCAGCACCUGUAUUUUCAUCAUCUUGUUUCUUCUCAGCGUGAGCUAUGGUGCCACUGUCACCCUCCUCAAGGUGAAGUGGGUCUUCUCAGCCCUACUGCAGAGCACGCCUCAAGCUCUCCACGACUAUGCCAACGUCCUCCAGCCUCGGGCCUAGGCUGGACACCAGCACCCUUACAGCAUCCUGAGCUUCCUGUUCUGCCCUGGGUAGCAGGUGGGAGCACACAGACCCCACACUCACACAGAGGCCAGAGUCAGGGGCCCAAAAACCAACACACCAGAAUCCAGAAGGUUCGU